rnacentral:lncRNA from 1 species
GAUGCUGAAAUCUUAACUAGAACAUACUAGUUCAAAGGAGCAAAAUGUAGUAAAGGAAGGUAUCAUGACUUUUGAAAUAUAGCUUUGGCUUUUAGCCAGCUAAACAGGCCAUCAAGAGAAGUAAUAAAGCAAGAGAGAGUGUUUUUGAGUGUAAAUGUGAGUUCAGAACUAAAGUGUUCGUGUGUUUGUAUUAAUGAAAGAGUAUGUAUAUAUAGUAGUUCGAAUCCAUGUAAAAUAAGGCAAGAAUUACAAUUGUAUAAUAAUAAUGGAACCAAGUACUAAUCAGAAUCCAAUCAAUACAAGUACUCCCUUUAAUUAAGGGCAAUCAACCAAUGGUAAUAGGCAAAAAAAUUUUAAGGAAAGAAAUCAAGUAGAGAAUCAUGUACAGAAUAGACAAUUAGGGGUAAGUACAUAUGGGUUCAAUUAAGGAAAAAAGAAUCAGUAAAACAUUUGGUUGACCAAAUAAGAUAAGGAAACACAAUCGAAAAUCAACACAUGGUAAAUCAGGGAAUCAAGGAUUCAGAAUUACUUAUUUUAGGAAGGUAACAUGGUUUCCCAUGAACAAGCCAAUAAACCAAGUUAAAAUAGGAGAGUCGAAAGUCUAAAGAGAAGUUUUCAAAUCAAGCCAAGAAACAGGGAGCUCAAAGUCAAUCAAAGUGAGAGUCAUGAGUCAUGUUCUAGCACAUAGAGUGAGACAUGAGUAGCCAAGCAAGCAAAGAGGCAAGUAUUGAUCAGUCAGGACAAACACAAGCCCAUAGAGCUAAUAUAAGUUAGGCACAAGGAACUCAGUAGAAGCACAUUUAAAGCGAUAUAUUCAUAGAAAAUCAAACAAAAAUAGGCAAGUCACAAAAUCAAACGAAG